rnacentral:rRNA from 1 species
CACGUAGGGUGCGAGCGUUGUCCGGAAUCAUUGGGCGUAAAGAGCGCGUUAGGCGGCCAGAUAAGUCCGGUGUGAAAAGUCAAAGGCUCAACCUUUGAAUGCCGCUGGAAACUGUCUGGCUAGAGUCCGGGAGGGGCGAGUGGAAUUCCUGGUGUAGCGGUGAAAUGCGCAGAUAUCAUUUGGAACGCCAAUGGUGAAAACAGGUAGCUGGGAGUGUGCUGACCGGCUGAGACACGGAAAGCCAGGGGAGCGAACGGG